AUGUCGUGGGACGGAGAUUACUUUGAAGGUGAAACGGUUUUGUGCUUGGUAGAAAGAAAGAAGAAUAAAAAUGCACUUGGCCUUGCCUUGCCUUGCCUUUUGUUUGGUCAUGUCGUAAAUACGUGUGUGAGAUGCACAAGUUUGUAUAGUGUGAUUUCUGGAACUGGAUUCUGCAUACCUACCCUGGAGCUGGAGGGAACCUUUUGCGUGGCAAAAAGAUUUAUACAACAAGUACUCCCUCCUUUCCGGUUUAUAAGGCUCAAUUCAAAAAUCUCACCAACCAAGGUAGGUGAUGAGUGGUGGAAUACUUUUUGUAGUUUGCAAAAGCACCGAAUUAAUGCUCUUGUUUUCCUCAAAAAAUUAUGUUUACCAAUGUAUUAA
rnacentral:rRNA from 1 species